UACGUAGGGUGCAAGCGUUGUCCGGAAUUAUUGGGCGUAAAGAGCUCGUAGGCGGUUUGUCGCGUCGACUGUGAAAACCCGCGGCUUAACUGCGGGCUUGCAGUUGAUACGGGCAGGCUAGAGUUCGGUAGGGGAGACUGGAAUUCCUGGUGUAGCGGUGGAAUGCGCAGAUAUCAGGAGGAACACCAAUAGCGAAGGCAGCUCGCUGGGACGUUACUGACACUGAGGCGCGAAAGCGUGGGGAGCGAACAGG
rnacentral:rRNA from 1 species